rnacentral:rRNA from 1 species
GUGCCAGCCGCCGCGGUAAUACGUAGGUGGCGAGCGUUGUCCGGAAUCAUUGGGCGUAAAGCGCGCGUAGGCGGCUUGCCAGGUCUGAUGUGAAAUCUCGGGGCUCAACCCCAAGCGUGCAUCGGAAACCGGCUUGCUAGAGUCUGGGAGAGGAGAGUGGAAUUCCUGGUGUAGCGGUGAAAUGCGUAGAUAUCAGGAGGAACACCAGUUGCGAAGGCGGCUCUCUGGAACAGUACUGACGCUGAGGCGCGAAAGCUAGGGGAGCGAACAGGAUUAGAUACCCGCGUAGUCC